rnacentral:rRNA from 1 species
UACGUAGGGGGCAAGCGUUGUCCGGAUCUAUUGGGCGUAAAGAGCGUGUAGGCGGCCUGACAGGUCAGCUGUGAAAACUCGAGGCUCAACCUCGAGACGUCGGUUGAAACCAUCUGGCUAGAGUCCGGAAGAGGAGUGUGGAAUUCCCGGUGUAGCGGUGAAAUGCGCAGAUAUCGGGAAGAACACCCGUGGCGAAGGCAGAUCUCUGGGACGUUACUGACGCUGAGACGCGAAAGCGUGGGGAGCAAACAGG